UGGGGAAUUUUGGACAAUGGGCGAAAGCCUGAUCCAGCAAUGCCGCGUGUGUGAAGAAGGCCUUCGGGUUGUAAAGCACUUUUGUCCGGAAAGAAAUCCUUGGCUCUAAUACAGUCGGGGGAUGACGGUACCGGAAGAAUAAGCACCGGCUAACUACGUGCCAGCAGCCGCGGUAAUACGUAGGGUGCAAGCGUUAAUCGGAAUUACUGGGCGUAAAGCGUGCGCAGGCGGUUUGCUAAGACCGAUGUGAAAUCCCCGGGCUCAACCUGGGAACUGCAUUGGUGACUGGCAGGCUAGAGUAUGGCAGAGGGGGGUAGAAUUCCACGUGUAGCAGUGAAAUGCGUAGAGAUGUGGAGGAAUACCGAUGGCGAAGGCAGCCCCCUGGGCCAAUACUGACGCUCAUGCACGAAAGCGUGGGGAGCAAAUAGGAUUAGAUACCCUGGUAGUCCACGCCCUAAACGAUGUCAACUAGUUGUUGGGGAUUCAUUUUCCUUAGUAACGUAGCUAACGCGUGAAGUUGACCGCCUGGGGAGUACGGUCGCAAGAUUAAAACUCAAAUGAA
rnacentral:rRNA from 1 species